UCAGUAACGGCGAGUGAAGCGGCAACAGCUCAAAUUUGAAAUCUGGCCUCUUUGGGGUCCGAGUUGUAAUUUGUAGAGGGUGCUUUGGCGUCGGCCGUGGUCUAAGUUCCUUGGAACAGGACGUCACAGAGGGUGAGAAUCCCGUACGUGGCCGCCGGCCUUCGCCGUGUAAAGCCCCUUCGACGAGUCGAGUUGUUUGGGAAUGCAGCUCUAAAUGGGAGAUAAAUUUCUUCUAAAGCUAAAUAUUGGCCAGAGACCGAUAGCGCACAAGUAGAGUGAUCGAAAGAUGAAAAGCACUUUGGAAAGAGAGUCAAAAAGCACGUGAAAUUGUUGAAAGGGAAGCGCUUGCAGCCAGACGUGCCCGCAGUUGCUCACCCGGGCCCUCGCCCGGGGCACUCUUCUGCGGGCAGGCCAGCAUCAGUUCGGGCGGUCGGAUAAAGGCCUCUGUCACGUAUCAUCCCUCGGGAUGACCUUAUAGGGGAGGCGCAACACGGCCAGCCCGAACUGAGGACCGCGCAUUCGCUAGGAUGCUGGCGUAAUGGCUGUAAGCGGCCCGUCUUGAAACACGGACCAAGGAGUCUAACAUCUAUGCGAGUGUUUGGGUGUCAAGCCCGGGCGCGCAAUGAAAGUGAACGGAGGUGGGAACCCUUUGGGGUGCACCAUCGACCGAUCCUGAAGUCUUCGGAUGGAUUUGAGUAAGAGCAUAGCUGUUGGGACCCGAAAGAUGGUGAACUAUGCCUGAAUAGGGUGAAGCCAGGGGAAACCCUGGUGGAGGCUCGCAGCGGUUCUGACGUGCAAAUCGAUCGUCAAAUUUGGGCAU
rnacentral:rRNA from 1 species